AGCAGAUCAGGCUUAAUCUAGGGUGAGUUCUCGGGGUGGCUAUGAUGAACGGAUGGUAGGGAGCAGUCACAGCCAUAGGGGUCAGGAAGCCAGGUGCAGUGCCAAUAAAUCUCUUCCCAGGUCCCAGGUUGGGUGGGCAGUACUCAGUUGGACAGCCUACCCAGAGUGUUUCCUCGUUCCAGGUCACCGAGACAGUCGCCCACGGUACGGGUGAGACCUCAUGUUGUCGAUCUACGGGUGGAGGCGCCGUUGCGCCUGGGCUUGGACGACGUCCAGCUGAAUACGGCCUCACGGCCUUCAGCAGCAAAAGGGUUUCG